rnacentral:ncRNA from 12 species
CUCUUGCAAUUAGGUAUAUGAUGGAUACGUCUAUCAUUUCAAAUCAAGGGAAUAAAGGAGUCUAAUUCCAUGCUGAAUAAGCAAAAAAAUAAAUAAAGAUGAAAACCGAUAGUAAUGUUAAAUGAACUCCGUUAAGCAUCU